UACGUAGGGUGCAAGCGUUAAUCGGAAUUACUGGGCGUAAAGCGUGCGCAGGCGGUUAUGUAAGACAGUUGUGAAAUCCCCGGGCUCAACCUGGGAACUGCAUCUGUGACUGCAUAGCUAGAGUACGGUAGAGGGGGAUGGGAUUCCGCGUGUAGCAGUGAAAUGCGUAGAUAUGCGGAGGAACACCGAUGGCGAAGGCAAUCCCCUGGACCUGUACUGACGCUCAUGCACGAAAGCGUGGGGAGCAAACAGG
rnacentral:rRNA from 1 species